CUUUAUGAAUUAAUAUAAAGUCGGACCUGCUCACUGAUUAAUAUUAAAGAGCCGCGGUAUUUUGACCGUGCAAAGGUAGCAUAAUCAAUAGUCUUUUAAUUGGAGGCUGGAAUGAAUGGUUUGACGAAAUAUAAACUGUCUUAAUUUUAAUGAAUGAAUUUUAAUUUUAAGUUAAAAUGCUUAAAUGAGCAAAAGGGACGAUAAGACCCUAUAGAUUUUAAUAUAUUAAAUGUAAAUUUUAUUUAAGAAUUUAAUUUUAAUAUAUUUGAUUGGGGUGAUAAGAGAAAAAUAAAACUUCUUUUUAAGUUAACAAAUAUAAUUGGGUUUUUGAUCCUAAUAUUAUAGAUUAAAAGAUUAAAAUACCUUAGGGAUAACAGCGUAAUUUUAUUUGAGAGUUCAUAUUGAUAAUAGAGAUUGCGACCUCGAUGUUGGAUUAAGAUUAUUUUUUGGUGCAGUAGUUAAAAUAAUAAGUCUGUUC
rnacentral:rRNA from 1 species